rnacentral:lncRNA from 1 species
GGCGGGCGGGCCAUGGCUAGGGAGCAGUGCCGGCAUGACCUCUGGUGGCCCAGGACUGGGGAUAGGUGUGAACUCAUCCUCGAUACCUUCAGAAUUCUCAAGCAUCGCCAUUCCCGUGUAAGACUUUUGUGUUUGUGUGGGGAGAAGGCUCAACGCUGAAGAGCCUAGCGUUCCAGCUCCUUCCACAGAGCUGCCCUAGAUCACUAUUCUGAGGCACUCAAAACACUCUCUGCCCCGGGUCUGUUUUCUGUUUAAAUUUCAGACUCUAUAACUCUACACCCUGCUGGCUCCACAUCUAUCCAUGUCUUCAAUGUCCCCACCCUUCAGAUGCGCCUUGCAUGGGACUCACCUGGCUCUUGUGGAGAAGCCACGAUCCGGGAGACCGAGCUGAGCAAGCCGCUGCACAUUGGUGUGGUGAGGAUGCUGUGCCUAGCUCUCUUGCAUCGGUUCCUUAGGAUGGACACUUCCUGCCCCCAAGCCUGAGGCCCCUUUGGCUGGUAACCUGCAGGGACACACUGCCAGGGCUUAGGAAUGAAGCAGAGGUCACACUGUCUGUGACAAAGGGCGUACCAGCUUUUGGAACUGUUCACGUGGACAGACACCUGGAUAAAAGUAUAACCAACAAGGCCCCGCUGUGGGAUAGGACUGUUAUCCUCAGGCCUGUAACCAUCCAUCCGGACCUCAGUUCUCUGGAUCCUCUGCUUGGGAGGUCUCCUUCCCCCAAAAGGGACAUCGUGGCCCAGCUUGGCAGGGAGCUGGGAAGCCAAUGCUGACGAGAGGUGACCCCACCUUGAACUCUGCUGGCAAGGAAGUGCGGUCCAUAAGGAGAACAGGAGUCUGGGCUUCUUCACUCUCUUGGCCGGCCCCAGCCUCCUCCUCCAGAAUCUGAUGGAUCUCUCCCCACCUGAGACACCAUCUAACAGGCUUCCAGGUGCCAGGAUCUCAAACCUGGGAAGUUAGUUUAUAUCAAAGGAGACAUUGGUGGUCACACAUCCUGCUUCCCAUCCUGCUCCAGUCUCAGUCGUAGGAACCAGAGAGCCUGCCUGCAGCUCAGACCGCGAACCCUCCACAUUCUCAGAGAGGUAUAAGAAAAGCCCCCUUCUGUCAGGUCAACAUGUCUAAAAGCAAAACAUAUUUCCCCAUAGUUUUGUGAAGGACUUGGCAGAGGUCAGAGCACCUCCUGGCAGGGACUGUAAAAGCCCAGGGCCAUUCCUUUGUGCUGUGACCUGAGGAUGGAGUUGUCAGCCAGGAGGGCAUGAAGACUCUGAAGGAUGCCACAGACCUCCAGGGCACACCCUUCCUGAGGGCCCAUCCUGCCCAUGCUCUCUGCCCCCACACCACGGAGCUUUUUGCUUGACCUGAUAACUCA